rnacentral:tRNA from 1 species
GGUUCUAUAGUGUAGUUGUUAGCAUGUCUGCUUUACACUUAGAAGGUCCUGGGAUAGUGCCCCAGUGGAGCCA